UACGUAGGGACCAAGCGUUGUUCGGAUUUACUGGGCGUAAAGGGCGCGUAGGCGGCUUGUCAAGUCACUUGUGAAAUCUCUGGGCUUAACCCAGAACGGUCAAGUGAAACUGACAUGCUAGAGUGUGGAAGGGCAAUCGGAAUUCUUGGUGUAGCGGUGAAAUGCGUAGAUAUCAAGAGGAACACCUGAGGUGAAGACGGGUUGCUGGGCCAACACUGACGCUGAGGCGCGAAAGCCAGGGAGCAAACGGG
rnacentral:rRNA from 1 species